GAUGAACGCUGGCGGCGUGCCUAAUACAUGCAAGUCGAGCGAACAGACGAGGAGCUUGCUCCUCUGUCGUUAGCGGCGGACGGGUGAGUAACACGUGGAUAACCUACCUAUAAGACUGGGAUAACUUCGGGAAACCGGAGCUAAUACCGGAUAAUAUAUUGAGCCGCAUGGUUCAACAGUGAAAGACGGUUUUGCUGUCACUUAUAGAUGGAUCCGCGCCGCAUUAGCUAGUUGGUAAGGUAACGGCUUACCAAGGCAACGAUGCGUAGCCGACCUGAGAGGGUGAUCGGCCACACUGGAACUGAGACACGGUCCAGACUCCUACGGGAGGCAGCAGUAGGGAAUCUUCCGCAAUGGGCGAAAGCCUGACGGAGCAACGCCGCGUGAGUGAUGAAGGUCUUCGGAUCGUAAAACUCUGUUAUUAGGGAAGAACAAAUGUGUAAGUAACUAUGCACGUCUUGACGGUACCUAAUCAGAAAGCCACGGCUAACUACGUG
rnacentral:rRNA from 1 species